UUUCCCCCAAAUAAUUUUGGUUCUUCCUGUUGUUUUGCUUGGACACGAAUGGAGACACAAUGUUUGUCCCACUGCAAGGAAGAAAGGCAAACAAAAGCUUUCACAUAACGUGAGGAAAUAAUGAACUAAAAUGAGAGACUGACUGAUUACCUGAACAUUUAAGUAUGAGAGGGCUGCACACCAUUUAUGGACUAAAGUGGACUAAGUGACAUCAGUUGAAGCUGCUCCAAGCAUUUCACAUGCUGAGCUUCAGGAUGCCCUGCAGCAGAUAGAGGGAUGACUGGAGAGAGGAGAUCUGUCUCCUGGAGAAGAAGAUCUUAAUAUAGAAUAUAUAGUAAAAAUAGUCAAAUCACGAGGCGGACUGUAGAGCUGCAUUUCUGUUUGCUUCACUGUUUAUCAGAGGAGACGUUUUUAAAAACAAUUUCACUGAGAUUUAAGUCAUAGGUGAAGAAAUCCUGCUCUGUGAUCAGGAUUAUGGCUCAAGGUUAGAGUGACCACAAGAUCUUCUAACUAAAAAGUGAUUCUUCACAGUGAAAGUUGGUAACAUUUACAGAUAUUAAAUCAUUAAAGCCAGAACGAAGCAGCAUCAAAGUACCAUAACAUUUAGCAAUAACACAGACACAUUACACUAUGGACGAUGUUUUCAGUUUUGAUUUAACGAAUCAGUUAAGAAGUUAGGAUAACGUCUUGAGGUAUUUCUUUUCGUACGACAAAACUGUCGCGGCAAAUGUAUACAAAAAGUUUCUCCAUAUGUUAUACCAAAAAUACAGGCAGGAUACAUGUAGAAAAUAGCAAGUUAUGACUUUCAAACUGAAUUAUGUAGCGAACCAAGGUUGAUGUGUGCAGUUACAGUCCUUUAGUUAAAAGUUUCUGUUAAAUGAGGUGAAGGAUAAAUGAUUUGUGUUUAUAAGUCCUAAAGGAAGAUCAGAGAUCAUACAUUUGAUGUAAGAAGGACCUUGAGACCUGACUUACAGAUUAGUGUUUAUGAAAGCUUUAUUUGUGAACAGUUAAUCGUCUUUUGUCUUUCCAUAAAUAUCGUGUUUUUCACAUUAUGUGGGCUGGACUGACUGCAACCCCUCUAAUAAUUUUCUUAGUGUUCAUACAUUACAUCAUUUUGAAAGGAGCUCAGAUAACUGGGUUUGAUUAUGUCAGCAUUUACAAAACGAAAAAGAAAACAUGUUUGAUCUUUAGGUUUUCACUCAGUCCAUCUAAACAAACUGGAAGUCUUUUUUUUUUAUAGGAAAUGAACAUUUCACUUUUUCUUCUAUCUGUAGGAGAACACUGUUUGAUUGACAGCUCUUUCAAAACCACCGUUAUUGGAGACAGAGUGGAAAGAAAGUUUCAAAACCCUGUGUGUGUGCGUGGGGGGGUGUGUGUGAGGGAGAGAGAGUGAGUGUGUGUUUGGAAUAUUUCCAACUCUGAAAAGUUGAACAGUCAUCAAGCAUUUUACCUCACAGCUUUCACCAUUUUUUAUUCUUUCCUCAGGCAUAAUUAUGACUGCUGCUGGUCAUAGGUGUGCAUGUGUGUGUGUGUGUGUGUGCAAUAAUCACACAGUUUGUGUCUGUCAGAAACUCGUCACUCACAUGUCACAGUGAGAUUCAGCCGCUCACUUAAAGGGAAAUACCUCUCAUUUUAAAAUGUCACUCGGAGCUUGUUAUUCGUCGACUUCGCGCGCACACACAGGAACACACACACACCGACUCGCAUGUGUUCCCCACUUGUUGGUCAGGUUGAUGGUUCUCAGAUUGCUGCGUGACAUUUUGGACAGAUGGAGGGCGGUGGAUAACUGUCACUCACCUUCUUCCUCCCGCUCGGCUCAAUUUAAACCAUCUGUCCUGACUCUGUGUGUCUGAGGAUGAUGAUUCAUUCAGACUUCACCAAGAUGUACCUCAGUGUAGACGUCUCGCAUUUCCAAGUUUGGUCAGACUGCAAGUUAUUCAGUAAACUUGUUUUUCUUUUUGGAUGUUUUAUGUACCUAUUUGUACCUGUGAUUGAGCGGAUUACAAUGGAGUAUUAUACAUGUAUGGCUUACUAUAAAAUUCUACCAAAAAACUCAUUUUGUGAUUAAUCUGUUUGAAAUGUCAACAGUUUUCUAGAAACAAACAAGGAAAUGUCUGACCUCCAGAAGUUGAAAAGUUGGGAGAAGUUUUGCUAGUAAAAAUGCAAAACGUUUGAGGUUUUCUAGAAAAAUUUGGAAAUUUCUGAGUUUCAAAAGUAAAAAUGAUAAUCAGAAAAUUUUCAAAGAUUUUUUCUAUAAAAUUUCUGA